rnacentral:rRNA from 1 species
UACGUAGGGAGCGAGCGUUGUCCGGAUUCAUUGGGCGUAAAGAGCUCGUAGGCGGCUUGAUAAGUCGGAUGUGAAACCUCCAGGCUCAACCUGGAGUCGCCAUCCGAUACUGUCAUGGCUAGAGUCCGGUAGGGGCCCACGGAAUUCCUGGUGUAGCGGUGAAAUGCGCAGAUAUCAGGAGGAACACCGGUGGCGAAGGCGGUGGGCUGGGCCGGCACUGACGCUGGAGGGAGCGAAAGCCGUGGGGAGCGAACAGG